rnacentral:rRNA from 1 species
GGUGAACGCUGGCGGCGUGCUUGACACAUGCAAGUCGAACGGUAUGUGGCAACACAUAGAGUGGCGAACGGGUGAGUAACACGUGGGAACGUAUCUUUUGCAGGGGGAUAACUGACCGAAAGGACAGCUAAUACCGCAUAAGUCCGAGAGGAGAAAGGUGCAACAGCAUCGGCAGAAGAGCGGCCCGCGGUCCAUCAGCUAGUUGGUGAGGUAAGGGCUUACCAAGGCGACGACGGAUAGCCGGCGUGAGAGCGUGGCCGGCCACAAGGACACUGAGAUACGGGUCCUACUCCUACGGGAGGCAGCAGUGCGGAAUUUUAGAUAAUGGAGGGAACUCUGAUCUAGCGACGCCGCGUGCAGGAAGAAGGUCUUCGGAUUGUAAACUGCU